rnacentral:rRNA from 1 species
UACGUAGGGGGCAAGCGUUGUCCGGAAUCAUUGGGCGUAAAGAGCGUGUAGGCGGCCAGAUAAGUCCGCUGUGAAAUCUCGAGGCUCAACUUCGAGCUGUCGGUGGAAACUGUCGGGCUAGAGUCCGGAAGAGGCGAGUGGAAUUCCUGGUGUAGCGGUGGAAUGCGCAGAUAUCAGGAGGAACACCGAUGGCGAAGGCAGCUCGCUGGGACGGUACUGACGCUGAGGCGCGAAAGCGUGGGGAGCGAACAGG